ACAGGGUUCAAGUAGCAUUGGUUAUUGUUCAGAUCUGAAGGGGGAAGGUUUCUUUGCUCCCUUAUUUGGAUUGAAAACAAGCACAUAAUGUUGGGUGUGAAUCGGUUUCCGACAUCGCGUUUAUUCAGGUGGAUGGCCUUGCGCCACUCUUCCAGCAACCUUUUUGUUGGAGGUAUCCCAUCCCUUUUUCUCUCUUUAUGUGUUUAACUAUAGUAUUGGUUUUAAAAAGCACCUCUGAGGCGCGAUGUGACAAGUUAUG